ACCUAUCUAGUGCAACUAACCCCUAUUUCUGUAGGGAAAUUAGAGAGAGAACAGGUGUGUAAUCUGAUUUUGCUGCAUGACCAGCAUAAGCCCAGGAUCUUGUGGCUCUGGGCAGCCACCUUCAGUACUCCAGGCCCAGGCUUUCGGGCCUAGCCUGGAGGAAAGUUUGCAGCCUGAUUCAAGCUCUAAGAUCUCAGAGUUUGAAUCUGUGGAACAACUGUCAGCUGCUGGGGGAGCUUCCCAGGCAGUGAGUAUGGAGGAGUCCCCAGCUGGAUCCCACAGACAUUGUGGUGCAGUGGAAGCCCAGGCAGGUGAGAAGAACAUGGAGCCCCAGGCCCUGCAACCUGCCUGGCAGAAGUCAGAGGGGAGAAGCAAGGGGAGCACAAAGCCUGAAGCUGGAGGUGACGGUGCAGAAGUGAGGAGGAGUGAGAGGACAGAGACAAAGAGGUGCAGCUGAUCUGACCCCUGGGGCAGCUGAGGAGAAGGAGAAAACUCGCACUUUAAGACCUGGUGCAAAAACUGAACGGUGCCUGCUUGCUAUCCAAGAUGUUUGCAUGUAUCUCCCCUUUGCUGAGGGUUUGGAGCAAGAGCACCCGGACCCAUUAUGGAAAGCGGGGAAGGAAAGAAGUUGCUGCACAAACAGAAUGGAGUACAUUUUGCACUUUGUUUGUUAUAAACUCCCUGUGAGUCUCGGCUAUGAAGAGCGAGGGAGCUUAGGAACAGACGUCGGACCAAUUAAGUCCAGAGAUCUGACUUGUUCCCAACUUGCCGGGGGAACUUCUGUUGGGUAUUUGAAUAAGGAAUGAAAGUGUGAGGGUGAUGCUAUCUCCUCUCUCUCCUCUCGCAUGAACAUGCUCCAAUUAAAAGUGAAAGAAGAAGAGGCGCCGCACUAACGAGGCUGAAUAUUCAACUUCUCCCAUCAGCGUAAUGUCAUGCAAAUUACAGAGGGAGAUGGUGCAGAUUGGUUGGUCCCAGCUGGGAGUGAAACCUCAGCUCUCGUAUCUCCCUCGAUCUCUCACACUUCUGCAUCCUAUUAUGCUAAUGGCAUCUUUGGAAUAUUGAACUUUCAGAUCAGUAUUUGCACAUCUCAAUAAUCAUUCUCUGUCUGUAAGAACAAUGGAGCCAUUAGCCUGCAGCCAAAUUGUGCAAAGCUGAAGAGGGACACAAUGACAAUGAUAUCAACAGGAACCCACCAAACGCAUGGCUCGAUCACCUGGCCACAGAAAUGUGAUAAUAAAAGGAAUUUCUAUUUAAAUAAU